rnacentral:rRNA from 1 species
CCGAGUAGAGUUUUGUAGUACCUGGCGUCACGGAUGAACGCUAGCGACAGGCUUACACAUGCAAGUCGAGGGGCGAGCGGGGCAGUGCUUGCACUGCCGCCGGCGACCGGCGCACGGGUGAGUAACACGUAUGCAACCUGCCUCUGUCAGGGGGAUAAUCGGCGGAAACGCCGUCUAAUACCGCGUAUAUUUCCAUGGGGCAUCCCAUGGGGAAGAAAGGCGCAAGCCGGGCAGAGAUGGGCAUGCGGCGCAUUAGGUAGUUGGGGGUGUAACGGACCACCAAGCCGACGAUGCGUAGGGGUUCUGAGAGGAAGGUCCCCCACACUGGUACUGAGACACGGACCAGACUCCUACGGGAGGCAGCAGUGAGGAAUAUUGGUCAAUGGGCGGGAGCCUGAACCAGCCAAGUCGCGUGAAGGAAGAAGGUACUUAGUAUUGUAAACUUCUUUUGUCGGGGAACAAAGGCGGAGACGCGUCUCCGGAUGAGUGUACCCGAAGAAAAAGCAUCGGCUAACUCCGUG